rnacentral:siRNA from 1 species
UCAAAGCAAGCCUACGCUCUG